rnacentral:rRNA from 1 species
AUACAGGGGGUGCGAGCGUUAAUCGGAAUUACUGGGCGUAAAGAGUACGUAGGCGGUUGCUUAAGUCAGAUGUGAAAGCCCCGGGCUCAACCUGGGAACUGCAUUUGAAACUGAGUGACUAGAGUUUAAGAGAGGGGAGUAGAAUUCCGGGUGUAGCGGUGAAAUGCGUAGAGAUCCGGAGGAAUACCAGUGGCGAAGGCGGCUCCCUGGCUUAAAACUGACGCUGAGGUACGAAAGCGUGGGUAGCAAACGGGAUUAGAAACCCGGGUAGUCC